GUGCAGCUUCUGAAACAUGGCCCUACCAUGAUGUCCUUUCAUGACGCUGCCUUCGCACACACAUUAGCGUAAAGGAACUCGGUACUUGGGGGAAAACAAUGAAAUGAAUGAAUCAUCUCUCCCUUCUCUUCCAACCAACCAACAAAUGAAUGGACCACCAUCAACAAAAGGUUCCAUUGAAGAUUUGAUGAAGGCAAAGAAGCUGCAACACCUUUCAGACCUUUGGGCUCACACCAUUAAUACCUCUGAUCUUGAAGACAAACGACAAUUUGGGUUCAGCAGAGCAAGCAUUAGAUUUCCCUGUGCAGACCGUGUUGUGAUUCAAUGGCCGUUACUUGUCUGCAGGCAAUGGAGUGGCUCUAGAGAAGGACACACAUCUUGUAGCAAUGCAUCUGACUCAGGGCCUUUUAGGAGCUCAAGAAUCGCAGGUUUGCUGGAGGUCACCAACAAUGUCAUCUCAUCAGUGGGAAGGAAGUUGCUUCUACUGACCUGAAAGGUUCAGGGACUUCUGGGAGUUCAAGAAUCUCAGGUUUGUUGGAGGUCACCAACAAUUUCAUCUCAGCGGCCCAGUGCUUUCCCAUUAGCUAUUGAGCUUUUGCAUUCAGUCUCCUUUGCAGCUCUGCUUCCUUGACCGUCAUUCCUGGGCAUGAUUUGAAACCUACUUUCCCCCCGUUAUCCUAAAAGAUAAAGGUUUCUUUUAAUACUUCCAUGGAUGUUUUCUGAUUUUCACAGCUUGUCUUGAGGUAGGAGUCUAACUUUAGAAGCCUUAACAAAAGUAGCCAACUCCACAAUCCUUAAAAUUACCUUUACUCCACACCAUUUAUGCCAUGGCUACUGCAUUCACUCUCUGCCUGGACUUCAUCCUGAUUCACCACCUGUAAGAAUCUUAGUGCUUAGUAUUGGCUACUGUGUGCAAGGAGUUGCAACCAACCAACUUACUACCAUCUGACCAGUUCCAAUUUCAUCUCAGGGGUCUGCUUUCCAGGGCCAGUUUUGAUCCCAGUUUUCUUAGAGUUUCUGCCAGAAAGCUUACACGAAGACAGGGGGCUUGUAUGUAGGUAGUUUAUUUUUGAGGAAGUAUUUUCAGGGAAGAAGAGGAUAGGGUGUGGGAAGCAUGAAACGGAAGUAGGGAAAGUGGAUACAGG
rnacentral:lncRNA from 1 species